GCUUAACCGACUGCGCCACCCAGGCGCCCCUAACUAAGUGUUCUUUAUUCAAACUGUAACUCAAGUGGAGGGCAGCUCAAAUGCAUUUUUAGACCCCACAAUUAAGUGGUGAUAAUAGAAGUGGAGGCUAGACAGUGGCCAUGGUGGAAGUGAGCAGACAUCUAUUUGUCAAAUGACAAGGUAAGAAAAAAAGCUACCCAAGCCACUGAAUGCAUGCAGCAGGAAGAAGCAAGUACACUACUGUGAAGCUUGAACAGAAAUUAGAGCCUGCAAGGACUUGGAAGAUGCAGAAAUAAUCAUUUCAACCACGGCUCGAUUCAAUUCACUGUUUGGUCUGUUUGGAAGACAGGCUGAUCUUGGAGAAUGAAAGUGGAUUACUGUAAACUUAAUCUGGUAGUAAAUCCAGCAGCUCUCCCUUUCCAGAUGAAAUUUUGUCACUGGAGAAAAUCAAUACACCUUCUGGCAUUUGGUAAUUAUUGACCUAUUGAAUGCUUUUUUUUCUCUAUACUAAUUAAUAAAAUUGUUAACAAAACCAA